GAGGGUAUAGCUCAGUGGUAGAGUGUGUGCUUAGCAUACACUACAUCCUGGGUUCAAUCCCCAGUACCUCCU
rnacentral:tRNA from 1 species